rnacentral:rRNA from 1 species
GAUCCUGGCUCAGGAUGAACGCUGGCGGCGUGCCUAAUACAUGCAAGUCGAGCGAACAGAUAAGGAGCUUGCUCCUUUGACGUUAGCGGCGGACGGGUGAGUAACACGUGGAUAACCUACCUAUAAGACUGGGAUAACUUCGGGAAACCGGAGCUAAUACCGGAUAACAUAUUGAACCGCAUGGUUCAAUAGUGAAAGGCGGCUUUGCUGUCACUUAUAGAUGGAUCCGCGCCGUAUUAGCUAGUUGGUAAGGUAACGGCUUACCAAGGCAACGAUACGUAGCCGACCUGAGAGGGUGAUCGGCCACACUGGAACUGAGACACGGUCCAGACUCCUACGGGAGGCAGCAGUAGGGAAUCUUCCGCAAUGGGCGAAAGCCUGACGGAGCAACGCCGCGUGAGUGAUGAAGGUCUUCGGAUCGUAAAACUCUGUUAUCAGGGAAGAACAAAUGUGUAAGUAACUGUGCACAUCUUGACGGUACCUGAUCAGAAAGCCACGGCUAACUACGUGCCAG